rnacentral:rRNA from 1 species
UACGGAGGGGGCUAGCGUUGUUCGGAAUUACUGGGCGUAAAGCGCACGUAGGCGGCUUUUCAAGUCAGAGGUGAAAGCCUGGAGCUCAACUCCAGAACUGCCUUUGAAACUAGAUAGCUAGAACCCGGGAGAGGUGAGUGGAAUUCCGAGUGUAGAGGUGAAAUUCGUAGAUAUUCGGAAGAACACCAGUGGCGAAGGCGGCUCACUGGACCGUUGUUGACGCUGAGGUACGAAAGCGUGGGGAGCAAACAGG